CCGGCGCACGGGUGAGUAACACGUAUGCAAUCCACCUGUAACAGGGGGGUAACCCGGGAGAAAUCCGGACUAAUACCCCAUAAUAUGGGCGCUCCGCAUGGAGAGUCCAUUAAAGAGAGCAAUCUUGGUUACAGACGAGCAUGCGCUCCAUUAGCCAGUUGGCGGGGUAACGGCCCACCAAGGCGACGAUGGAUAGGGGUUCUGAGAGGAAGGUCCCCCACAUUGGAACUGAGACACGGUCCAA
rnacentral:rRNA from 1 species